CUACUUCCGAAUUCUUUGUAACUUAUGAUCUUAGAUAACCUCACAAGGAAUAAUCGAGGGGGUUUAAGUCCGGGGAUCGGGCAGGCCACAAGUGUUUUUUUUUUUCAUCCUGUAUCUUUGAAAUGAAGUGGUAUUCCCAGAAAUCAUCAAGGAACAAAAUAUUCUUUGUCCAAGGAAAAAGCAUUUGAAUUUUUGCUGCGUGUUUACCAAACACCCUGUUUAGGUGAAAAUUGACCUGUUUGACCAUUUUUUCUAGGAAAUACCGAAGAUAUGAUUUUCGCGCGUUACUUUUGAAUCACUCUGUAUACAGGGUGUCUUGCCGGGAAAGCCCGUUAGGAGUUUACGGAGAAAUAUACAGGGUGUAAAUGGAUAGUUGCGACAAAUUUAAGGGGUGAUUCCUAGUCGAAACAUAGUCUGGGUCUUUUUUAUAAUUUUUUUUAGCAACCCCUGCUUAUAUACAGCUCCCUAAAGAUGGCAAGUAAAAAGUCAUUUCUGAUUUUUUUCUCAUAAACCAGAAAACUGACUGAAAUUAAAUUGUGCAGACAUUCUAUGGACAAAAGUUUCGCACCAUUAAAAAUUAUUUCUGAUUGAUUAAGAACUAACGAUUUUCGGGAAAAAAAAUUCAUCAACAGGUACGUAGCGUAUACAACUCUUUUUUAUUGCCCAUAGAAUGUCUACCUCAUUUCAUUUCUGUCAAUUUUCUAAGAGAAAAAUCGAAAAUUGCUUCUCAGGUAUCAUCACCAUUGAAAUUUUUUCGCAGCUGUUCACUAGCACCCUGUAUAUCUGUUUGAAACUUUGUUUUAAGAUAUAAAGCAGGUUGGCGAGCGUUUCUGAACUCGUCCAUCGAGUGGCAUCGAUCGGGGUUCAUAGAACAAAUGAUGUACCUUCUGAUUGAUUGAUUGUGAUUUAAAAUUAAGUACAAAACCGUUAAUUCGUGUAAGGUUAUGAUUGUUCCGAUACCCGUUUGUCGGGCUGACAAUUUGGAGUUGGAUAAUAUUUUAUUUUUUCAAAAAAACGUGAGACUGAGUUAGUUUUAAGUAGAUAACCUAUAAUGAAAUUAUCGAUAAGGAUCAAACUGCUGGAAUAUUUUUGAAAUGGUCGGAAUCUAAGGAAUUUAUCAGUGAAAUUUUCCUUCCCAAGGAUAUUCAACAAUGUCAAUUCAAAUGUUUUGUACCAGAUUUCCGAUUCACAGAUGCAUUCGGAAUUCCAUUUUAUUGUUUGGGAACUUGUGAUAAAAAAGUUAUUGAUAUCUAACAUUUUUGCAUUUGAGAAAUGAAUGUUGAUGAUUUAUUGGAUGACUGAUGGAUCGGGAGUUGUGAAUCUCAAAAAUAGUUUUAUUGGAACUAUAUAUAUAUAUGUUAUACUUUAUAUGUGUGAAAAUUGUAUUGAGAUUUGAUAAAGAAAAAAAAUUGUGCUGUUUAUCUAUGAUGUAUUCAUCUUUGAGAAAAAAUGUCAAAAGUUUGUUGUACCGAAAUUUUUUGAAUGCGCGUUCAAUUCAAAUCGAAUGGACUUUAUUUCAUGACAUGAGAUAUUUUUGUGCCAUUUUAGUGCAAUAGUUGUGAAUGACUAUAAUAGUUAUUAUAUAAUAAACAUACUCUAAUAUAA